UACAGCCACUCUGGAAAACAGUAUGGAAGUUCCUCAAGACGUUAAAAAUAGAGCUACCCUAUGACUCAGCAAUUGCACUACUGGGGUAUUUACCCCAAAGAUACAGACGUAGUGGAGAGAAGGGGCACAUUCACCCAGAUCUUCAUAGAAGCAAUGUCCACAAUAGCCAAACUGUGGAAGGAGCCGAGGUGCCCUUCAACAGAUGAAUGGAGAAAGAAGAUGGGGACCUACUGGGUGGCACAGACUGACGAGUAAGACCUGUGCUAAGACAGACCAGAGCCCAGGAAGUCACCCUGGACAGUUCCAGCCUGAGGUCCUGCCUCCCUAGACGCACAACCUGAGCCACAGUCCUGCUGUGCUCCCUGAAGUUGCACACGCUCUUCUCGCUACCUGCAGGUAACCGCCCUGACGCCGUCAGCAUGAAGGACACAGGGUGCCUAGAACAUUCCACGUGUGGUCUACAAAAGCUAACGGACUUAGACUCAAGUUUCAACCCACCCUACGUACUCAUACAACUAAUAAACAAUUCUCC